AUCCUACGGGGGGCAGCAGUGGGGAAUAUUGCACAAUGGGGGGAACCCUGAUGCAGCAAUGCCGCGUGGGUGAAGAAGCACUCCGGUGCGUAAAGCCCUGUCAGCAGGGAAGAAAAUGACAGUACCUGACCAAGAAGCCCCGGCUAACUACGUGCCAGCAGCCGCGGUAAUACGUAGGGGGCAAGCGUUAUCCGGAUUUACUGGGUGUAAAGGGGGCGCAGACGGCCAUGGCAAGCCCGGUGUGAAAGGCAGGGGCAUAACCCCUGGACUGCACUGGGAACUGGCAGGCUGGAGUGCCGGAGGGG
rnacentral:rRNA from 1 species